UCACGCAGUGUGCGGACGCGGCCGGCAGGAGGCGCGCGGAGUCUGGCUGGCGGCGGCGGCGGCUGCGCCAUUGGCGGGUAGGAAAUGCCGCCAGAUGGCGGUUUAGGAUUGCGGCUCCACUGAGGUGCGGCCCCCGGCACCGCCGCCUGCUCGUUCCGGCCCGGUUUGGCCCCGGCCCGCCUGGACCCUUCUCCCGCGGCACCGCAGGAUUCCCGGGGGCGCUGGCCCAGCGGAGGCUGGACUUGGAGAUUGUUUGGAAAAUAGUUCCGAGAACAUUGGCUGAUAAAGAUACCACAAGAUACAACACGAGACUCUUGUGUUUCUGUUAGCAGUCCUUAGUGUGCUACACAAUGAUUACUUCAGAAUUACCGGUGUUACAGUGAUUCUACAACUG